rnacentral:sRNA from 1 species
AUAUGAUUAUAUGUCAUGUUACAUAUUUCUUCUUUUUUUUUUUUUUUUUUUUAUUCGAUCGAGUAGAGUUCUAGAGAACAUAAUUCUCAUAUAAUUAAUCCUUCAGAGAUUAUAUCUUUCAAGAAUUUCAUAUAAAUGUCAUAUCCAGUGUUACGUCUCUUAUUGCCAGACUUUAAUACAUUUCUUCAUAAUACAUCCACCACAAGAGAAUAUAUCUCUUCAUAAUACAUUUCUUAUCUUUGUGAAAAUCUCAUUAAUUUCACUAUUCUUUCACAUAAAGACUCAUUUAUUUUCCACUGGUUUUACACAUCAUGUGCAUAGACUACUAGUCCAAAUAUCUCUACUAGAGAUUAUAAUUAUAUGUCUAUUUCUUCUUUUCCAUUUUUGGCUAAUCAUUACUUUGUGUACACUUUUCAAUAGACUUUCUUUCAUGAUCCUCCUUUUUGUCUAUAAUAUCAACUGCUCAUAGCAUGCAAAUAUAUUACGACGUCGAUUUGCUUUUGAUUCCAUUAUAUUUUGACAUGACAUAGCUAGCUAGAUCUCUUCAUUGUCAAGUACUUGAAUGUUUCAUUUGUCAUGUUUAUGUCUCUUUUAGUGAUCAUUCACUCUCUUCUAGAGAUCAUUCACUCUCUUCAAGAGAUCAUCAAAAUAUUUAUUUCCUCAAUUUGGUCAUUUUUAAUUUUUGUGCUCCUUCACUUUUACGAGGAUAUUUAUAUUUGGAACCAAGGUCCUAUUACGCUUCAUGCGAUCUUAAGACUCAAUAGCAGUUUGAAAUUGGG